CUGGGAACUAGAGCAUGUGGUCAGCUACAAGAGCCUUCCUCAGGCAUGUGCUCUGUUCCUAGGAAUUGUGGACUAC
rnacentral:miRNA from 1 species